rnacentral:rRNA from 1 species
AGUGAACGCUGGCGGUAGGCGUAACACAUGCAAGUCGAACGGCAGCACAGUAAGAGCUUGCUCUUACGGGUGGCGAGUGGCGGACGGGUGAGGAAUACAUCGGAAUCUACUUUUUCGUGGGGGAUAACGUAGGGAAACUUACGCUAAUACCGCAUACGACCUACGGGUGAAAGCAGGGGAUCUUCGGACCUUGCGCGAUUGAAUGAGCCGAUGUCGGAUUAGCUAGUUGGCGGGGUAAAGGCCCACCAAGGCGACGAUCCGUAGCUGGUCUGAGAGGAUGAUCAGCCACACUGGAACUGAGACACGGUCCAGACUCCUACGGGAGGCAGCAGUGGGGAAUAUUGGACAAUGGGCGCAAGCCUGAUCCAGCCAUACCGCGUGGGUGAAGAAGGCCUUCGGGUUGUAAAGCCCUUUUGUCGGGAAAGAAAAGCAGCAGGUUAAUACCCCGCUGUUCUGACGGUACCCAAAGAAUAAGCACCGGCUAACUUCGUG